UAGAAGGGGAUGGAACGCGGCGGGGAGCGGAGGGACGAGGACAAUGCGAACGCUCACGGCGCGCAGCACGUGCCUGAGAGCCCCCAGCAGCUUGAUUCUGGGGGUUGGGACUCGCGGCCCACGGGGAGAGGGUGUUCUUCUUAACUUUCUUGAGGUUCUCUUUGUUGAUGACACCCGGGCCUCGGUCGGGGGCAGUAACCCCGAGGGAGGGGUCCUGAGAAUGAAUCGUAGCCCAGCGCUUGGCCUUGAACAGGAUAUUAGUGGAAAUAUUGCUGUGGUUGUCAGGAAACGCGAGUGCAGCCGCACAGCUACUGCCAGUUAUGCAGCGAGGAUAUCCGGUGGCUGCGAGGUCUGUAAUUUAGAAUAAGAAGCUCUCCCAACACCCGAGAGGCUGACCUCAGCGCCGCGUGGCGGUAAUGCGCUCAGCGCCCUCUGUGGAGACUGUCCAAGUCGUGACAGGUGGGAAAGCUUCAUGGUAGGUUAGACCUUAAAGAACCCUGCAGAAGUACCUGCGGAAUCAGACUGCAAAAGUGAGCUAGCCACUUACUAAACGUAGCUGAAGUAGAGGGUAAGAUCGCCAGCCCGUUUCCACCAUUAAUAAGUAGUGUUUUCCAGGGCAGCCUGCUACUUCCACUUUGAGGUCUUUACAAAGUGGGUAAUUGACCGUUGUUCACCAAGCCAGAAGCAUGUAUCUGCAGUGCCAUGAGGCAGGAGGAUGAUCCAGGAUCACACAGCUGUCUUCUUAGAUAAAUCUGACCCACUCAGCCCUCUCUGGAGGUAUGUUUCAUGCUGACUCAUGAGCAACAGGAAGGUAUGACCCAUUAAGCAGCUUCCAUGUUUUGAAGUAAAAUUGCUCUCCUCAGAUAACACCUAUGUAUUUGUGCUGUUACUGCUAUCCCCUUGUCAGUGAUAAAACCACAGACUGUUAGAGCUGAGAAAUUGAGGAAAAUCUUUAUUCUUUUUAUUUAACAUGUUGUUGUUGUUGUUGUUGUUGUUGUUGUUGUUAAAUCUACAUCAUUAGCUAACAAUAAAAAGCAAAAACACAUUAGUAAAAAGCUCACCCUCAACUCUCCUAGUGGCCCAGGCCUAUGAUCUCUGGUUUCUAGAACUGCUGAGGUGAGGGAGGAGGCUAGAGAGCUCUCAAGGCCAUCCUGUGGGCCACAGAGUUCAUACAAAGACCACUUAGGCAACGUAUGGGACUUUGCCUCAGAAUUAAAAAGGAGAAGGAGGCUAAGGAUGUAGCUCAGGAGUGUGGCCUUGCCCCAUUCACAAGACCUUGGCUUUAAUCCUCAGCACCACAAAACCGCAAUGACAAUAUCAGUUCUUAUUUUAAAAUAUCUGUGAUGUUAACAGUGCUUUUUAACUCUUUUUUUUUUGAGUUCAGAUGAUAAGUUUCUAUACACAAAUUAUAUCUCUACAUAAAAUUGACUCAAGUGGUAAACCCAGCAGCCGUAAUCUAGACAAGAUUUAGGCAUGCUAAAUCACAGGAAGUACUGUGAAGAUGAGAUAAGGCCUGCUAAACAUCUGACAUUAGGUGCUCAAUAAAUGCUAGACAUCAUAGUGCAGUUUAUUCCCAUUGUGGAGGUGUGGCGACCUAAAAAGUAUUAAGUUUGAUAGUAAUGCUUCAAAUGCACGAAUUACCUAUUUAUUAACAUAGCAUUUAUCAAACAUUGGAAUAAUUCCUAUACGUGUAGCAGCCUUCUGCUGGCCCAUCCAUCAGUUUUAGGCCUUACCCCAAUGAAACAAGACCAAGAGUUUCACUAAGCUAAGGAAUCUAAGCUUCAGCUCUGACUGGAAGGAACUUCCCACAAGCAGAGUAGAAAUCUAUAUUCUUGAGAUGCAAACUGCUGCCUUGACUCGAAGGCACUCUUUUUGCUACAGCAUGCUUUAGAAUUAUUUUUACACUUAUUUAUUGUGAGUGUAAGUGUGGAAGUUAAAGGAUAACCCAUGGAGUCAUUCUUUCCACCGUGUGGGUUCCAGGACUUGAACUGUGGGUCAUCAUGGUUAGAAGUAAUGGCCCUUACUUCUGAGCUACCUUGUUAGCCACGUGCUAUAACUUCAUCCCAUCUUACCUCCGGAAGCCGCCAGUGUCUACAGUUAUUAAGAAUUCUCUGCCCUGAAAGAAGACCCUCGCCGCAUGCAACUAGGUGUAUUAGAUUUCCCGGGUUCGGAAUUGUUAGGAAUCCAUCUUUCCUUAUAAAUUACCCAGUCUGUAGUAUCCCAUGAUGGCAAUGUUAAACGAGCAAAGACAUGAAGCAUUUUCUUGGCACCCUCUUCCUCCCAUGUCCAGCCUUUAAAACAAGUCUCAGGCUGUAGCCCUCUAUACCCUUCAGAUCCUCUCUGAAUGGACUCAGGUAGCUCUGUGUUACUUCAUCUUUAAGGCUAUGAGUCUCAGAUCAUUAGUGCAUCUGGAAGUUCCACUCUUUUUUUUUUUUUUUUUUUUGGUUCUUUUUUUUCCGGAGCUGGGGACCGAACCCAGGGCCUUGCGCUUCCUAGGCAAGCGCUCUACCACUGAGCUAAAUCCCCAACCCCUGGAAGUUCCACUCUUAACGCAACUGCCUGCGUGUCAUUAAUAGCUCACUGUAUUAUAAGCAUCUCAAGCAUGACAUAUCUCAAAUUCUUAAUUCCAUCUAUCCAAACUUCAUUGUUUCCGAGUCUUAAGUUCAAGUGUUGGUGCCACCGUUUCCCUAGUUCCUUGAGCCAAAAGCCAGGAGUCAUAUUUACUUCUUCUUCCUUUUAUUUCCUUUAGAUUUAUCAAAAAGAUCAUAAUGUGUCCACUUCCAGAUUUUUUCGCAUAGCUUGCCUUUCUACCAUCAUCCAUGUUACCACAGCGCCUGUGUGUGUCUCUCACACAGGUGCCUGUGUGGCCUUGUACUGGCCUCUCUGCUUCCAUGCUCCUUACAUCACAAUUGUGCCGGAUCCAGAAUGGCCAUUUAAAAAUAGAGCCCCAGUUGUACAUGAAGCUCCCCAGUAGUUUUCUGUAGUAGAAACAGAAUUCAUAUUCAGGUAAAACUGUCCAGUAAGAACUAUGAGAGAUCCACCCAUGCCCGCCUUCCACUUAGCCUGACCUCUCCAAUGACCAGUGCUCUUCUGCCUAGUGGCCUUCAUGUUCUCAAGCCCACCAGAGCUAAACCCUUUGAGCCUUUGCACUUUCUUCUUUUAAAUUUCUUUUAUUAUAUCUUUGUAUCUUAUUUUAUGCCUGGCUGUCCUGGAACUGGCUGUUUGGACAAGCCUGGCCUCAAACUCACAAAGGUCCAGGAGCCACUUCUCUCUCCAUCACGUGGAAGGCUGGGGGACAUUCACAGGUCAUCCGGCUUGGAAGCAAGUGCCUUUACCUGAGGAGUCAUCUCAGCAGCCCUCACUCUGUUUUCUCUGCAGAAAUCCCUAUGUCCUGAUUGUCACACUGGACUCUUGUGACCCAUCACUCAGGUAGUGCUGCUGUGUUUGCUUGUGCACUGAGUGGCCAAGGCAGAGAGGCUGGAGUUAACCAUGCUAAGCCAUCAUUCAAGGAUGCCUGAAGCAAAGAGAGCAUCUCAUUCUACAGACUGACUGACUAAAGGCCAAACCAUGUGGCCAGGAACUAUGUCCUGAAAGAGAGGUUCCCCUUUCUAACCUGUCAUGGGAAACUCAUGGUACCUACAUGACUAUAUACUUCCUAAGAACCGGUUGGAUCUAGUGCAACCUUUAUUUUAUUUAGAAACUAAGGUUAGGAGGUGAAACAGCUAACCCUUGUUGAAACUCUACCUCCUCUCAUCAUCUGGUCUCUUGACAAGAAUAUGUUAGAAAUAACUUUUAAUUCUACUUGAUAUAAGAUAUUUGUAGUAAAUUUUUAAAAAGCUCUAUAAAGAACCAACUAUAGUUGUAAAGCUUAUGGAAUGAGCUGCAACUAACUAUGAAUUGGCCUACCCACAUGCCAUUGCAGUGAUAAAUAAGUGAUAAGUAAUGCCUUCAUAAAGGCAAUAUGAAACUCUGUAAAAUCUGUCAUAUAUUUCUUUUGAGUCUCCAUACAUCUAAGCAUACAGACCUUGUCCUUCUAUGGACCUGUCUUAGGGUUUUACUGCCAUGAACAGACACCGUGACCAGUGCAAGUCUUAUAAAGGACAGCAUUUAAUUGGGGCUGGCUUACAGAUUCAGAGGUUCAGUCCAUCAUCAUCAAAGUGGGAGCAUAGCAGCAUCCAGGCAGGCAUGGUGCAGGAGGAGCUGAAUUCUACAUCUUAAGCUGAAGGCUGCUAGGAGAAUAUCAGGCAACUAGAAUGAGGGUCUUAAAGCCCACGCCCACAGAGACACACCUACUCCAACAGGGCCACACCUAACAGUGCCACUCCCUGGACUGGGCAUAUACACAAACCAUAACAGGAUCUCUGUGCAUGCUGGCUCAUGGCCUACCGAGACAGUUACCCAUAUAAACCUCUAAGGUGAAAAACAUAUUAACUUAAUGAGUCUCACUUUGUGAUUGGAAUUGUCAGCUUGGGGAAUCAAAAUGUAUAGAUCCCGUCCUUGCUUGUUUUUUCUCCCUCAUUGUUGGAAAUAAUAAACUAUCCAAGAGGAGCAAAAGGACUGAGUCAGUGUCUUGAUAACAUGGUCUCGGGAAACCAUUACUUAAGAUCCUACAUAAACAACAGUGUAAUACCUAGCCCUACUGGGAAGCAGAAAUGCUACCUACUUUUUCAACUCUGUCACCAUUUACAUCGUAAAGCCAUUGUUCUCAGUCUUCCUAAUGCUCCAACCCUUUAAUCCAGUUCCUCAUGUUGGCGACCCCCAAUCAUAAAAUUAAUUUAUUGCUACUUGGCACUGUAAUUUUUGCUGCUGGUAUAAAUCAUAAUGUAAAUAUCCGAUAUGCAGGAUAUCUGAUAUGUGACCCCCAAAGGAGUCGCAAUCCACUGUGGAAACUCAGCCGCUGCUUUGAGAAAUGGUGUUAGAAAUGCUCAUGUAGCAUUCAUGAUGUACCAGGCCCCGCCCUAAACACUGGCAUGUCAGUCAUUCCAUCCCUCCGGUAACCCCAUCGAAUAUAGGUGCUACUGUUCCUACUGUUUCAAACAUGGAGAAAUAGAGACACAGUGUCUUAGUCCAUUAAGACUUCCGUAUCAAAACACUCUAGACUGGGUGGCUUGAAAAUGACACCGACUGGUUCCCCACGAUUUUAGGAGAAGUCAUCUGAGGUUAACAUAGAUCCAGUAUCUGGUGAAGGUCCAACUCCUAAUUCUAUCUAUUCAAUAUGUCUUCUCAUCACAGAAGUAGCAAGAAGUUCUCCGAGGUCUUUUUACAAGGCACCAAUCCCACUCGUGAGGGUUCCACCUUUGUGCUAGUGACUUCUCACCCCUCCGACAGGAUGUCCGAGAGAAACCACCUGAGGUCAGGCUCCAUCUCCUAAAAGUUCUGUAAUCUCCCCAACUGCAGCACCAGCUGAGACCAACACAGGAACUAGCAGGGGCAUUUCAUCUUCAAAUCAUAACAACCCUCAUGGCCUGACCACUUGUCAAACGUGCCACCUCCUAAUACUACCACAGGUGAACCAGAGGGGAUGCUAACAUUUGGCUCACAGCACGCAGAGAAGCAAGGUGUAAUUGCUCAGUCAUAAAUCAGUGAAAGCAAAACUAGAAUUCAAAACGAGUUCUUAAUCUAUACUUUAGGACACUGGGACAGUGCUUCUUAACAUCCUCAAGUGAACAGGUAGUUGAACUCAUGCUGACCACUGCUGUAACAGUGACCAUUUGAACAUACGCAAGCAGAUGGAACUGAGUGUAUAGCUAAGUGGUUGAGCACUCGCCCUGACAUCCCCAAGGCUCUGGGUUCAAACCUAAGAACAUCAAAAAGCAUGAAAUUGGAAAUACUGAGCAAAAGUCACAAUAGGACCAGAAAUGUGAACACCUUUUAACAAAAUGUCAAAACCACAGAGCCCCUGUCUGGUUAUUGAAUGUUCCAUGAUUCCAGAAUUAACAGUAUACUGAGCAACAGAGAUGCGGGGAGGGAGGGUCUUUCCAUUUAACUCAGGAAACCAUGUAGUACUGUGUGAGUUAAGUCCUAGAACUCAGCUGUUGCACGACCUCCCCAAACUUCACUUUAAGCUAAACGGCUGACAGAUCCACCUGAAUAACCUCUCUGCCAUAGGCUUUACAGCCUAUCAGAUGCUUCCCCUCCAUGGCCUCUUAAAAACAGUCAUAAAAUGGUAAGUCCUCUAAGUCCUUUCCAUCUCUAGCUUUGAGUGGUUUUCUGCCCUAACCUGAGAGCUUGAAAAGCAGAAACCUGAACUUUUAAAAUUCAUCAAUUUUUACUGCUCCAGAAUUUACCAUGUAGAGCAGCUUCACAGCUUCCUGGAUUGGCGUGCCUUCAAAUUACAGUCAUGUUAGGCUUGGCACAUAAAGUUCAAAUAACAGCCUGCUGGCUCAGCACUCGGGGCCACAUAUUUUGAAGAAGGAAUGAUAGAGGGCCUUCGCCCUCCAGAUACCUGGCCAGCCCAUCUAGCAUCACUUUGGCAAAGUUAAAGUAUAUAUAAAGCGGGGGGGGGGGGGGGGGCGAGAAUAGGACAAGGCCUGAGCAUCUAGAUGGACGCUGCAGGAGAGGAAUGAUGGCUCAGAAAAGGCUGUCACCAAGUCAACUUCAAGGACAGGCCUGCAGAAACUAUGGCCUUCACAGACACCCUGCCUCAGUUCUUCUACUUGACCCAGGUUUAAGUCAGAGGCCCCUUCACCAGGAUAAGGCUCUCUUACUCUGCCUCCAAAGGCCAAUAGACAACUGCCCGCUGACUGAGAAAGGAGCACCCUGGGUAAAGUAAGAGCUCAUCUGCCCAUCUUCCUAGGAUCAGUGUCUUGUUCAGAGCUAACAAGAGCAGGAAGAACCAGGCACAGUGGUGCAUGCCUAUAGUUCUAGCUACGGCAGGCGGGAAAGAUCACUUCAGCCCAGAGGUUUGAGACCAAUCUAGGCAUCAGGGCAGCUGAUGCCUUCUCUACAUAAACAAACAAAGGUGAAAAGCAAGCUGGGCAUGUAGUAUAUUCCUACAUAAAACAAAACAGCAAAUGCCCUGCUAAUGAAAGAACCAAACAUUCACCUAGGCAGACAUCAAGAGAACCUCCCUCUGAGCUAGGAUUCAAACACAGGUCCUAGCCCCUGACUCCGCUAAUAUGCCAGAGCAGUUUGCUACAACAACAGGUUAAAUUCAGUGUGCUCUCUCUCUCUCUCUCUCUCUCUCUCUCUCUCUCUCUCUCUCUCUCUCUCUCUCCCCCCCUCCCUCCCUCCCUCCCUUCCUCACUCUCUCCCUCUCCCCGUCUCUCUCCUUACCUGUCUACUGUCUCUGUCUCUCUCUAUCUCUGUGUGUGCACGCCUGUAUGUGUAUGUAUGUGUGUAGAAAUAAAAGUACGCCCUUAUGGAUGUGAUAGAUUUGCCCAUUCACUUACUGAGAAGGACACCCUCACAGAGGACAGAAUAUGACCUCUGAGUCCACACCCUUUGAGACACAUGCCCCUCAAUACCUCAUCAGAAUAGGUUAGUGAGGGCCUUCACCUAAGCAGAAAACUAAUUCCUUGUGACUCAGUCCUCACAGCGUGUCUGGCCAUUGCUGAUGUGGGGGAGAAACAGUUCUUUCAGCUUAGGAAGAACACUGACUGCAGCCAAACAAGACAUGCAGAGACAUAACCUGAGGCAACUCCACCGCCAACAGUAGCGUGGAGGGAACAGUAGGAAGCAUCACUAACUGGAGCCCAGCUCUUAAGAGAGUCCUUGAGACAGUGGGUUGGAGCCAAGGAGUAGAAUCACAAACAGCUGGAGUGGGAACCUCAGCCCAGGGCUGCUGGGCUGCUGCAGGGGGGCUGUGAGGGAAGGCAGCACACAGCUGCAUUCCUGAGACAUUUGCAUUUCCAGAAAGCAGUAGGAAAUACAGGAGAAAAAACACUGUAGGGCUCAGGGAACUUUGGUUCCCAUUCUCACUGGCUACAUGCCUCCUGCUCCUCCCCAGGGCCCUCAUUCUGUGUGAGCACUUUAAGCUGGAAAUGGUGUGCUGGGGCUGAGACCUGAAUAAGGAACAUUGGCAAUUAUCAGUGGAUGAGGAAAUGUGUAUGCAGACCACGGCAGUAACAAUGCUACCAAAUAGCAAUGAAACGUCUGCCCGCCCUCCUUCCAAGUGGAACUAUAUAUUACUAUAUAUUAAAGUUAUCCGAGGACUGAAUUCUUUUUAAAGAUUUACCUCUGUGUGUGUGUGUGUGUGUGUGUGUGUGUGUGUGUGUGUGUGUGAGAGAGAGAGAGAGAGACAGAGAGACAGAGAGAGAGAGACAGAGAGGGGCAGACAGAAAGAGUGUGUGUGUGCGUGUGAGAGACAGAGACAGAGACAUAGACAGAGACACAGAGAAACGGAGAGAGACAGAGUGUGUGUGUGUGUGUGUGUGUGUGUGUGUGUGUGUGUGUGUGUGUGAGAGAGAGAGAGAGAGAGAGAGAGAGAGGCAAACAGACAGAGAGAAAGAGUGUGUGUGUGUUGGCAGGUGUACACACGGAGACCACAGGACAGUUUUUGGGGAGUCAGUUCUUCCCAUUAUUAUUAUUGUUGUUUUAAUAUUGUUAUUCCUUCAUUAUUAUUAAUUACUAUUAUUAUUUUGAGGCAAAGUCUUUUGUGAUGUCUCUGUGCCGAUUGGCCAGCUUCAGGGUGAAUCUCCUGUCUCCAUCACAGAGUGCUGGGUUCACAGAUAUGUGCUACCCAAGUCCAGCUUUUUAUGUAGGUUCUAAAACUGAAACUCGGGCCAUGGCAUGUACUUUUACCCACUGACCCAUGUUCCCAGCCCCUUGAAUAGUUUUUUAUUGAUACAGUGCCUGACUUAUAAAUGCAAAUCAGGACAGCUGUGGUAGCAUUUUGUUUUAUUUUGUUUUACCUUGUUUUGAUGCUGGGAACUGAAGCCCAGGGCCUAACACAUACCAACUGUCUGUCUAGCUCCAGCCUCUGCAUUGUUAUAAGUUCAUAUAAGUUAUAUAUACGUUCAUAGCACCAGAAACAAGGUGAAUUAUUGUAAAAUUUAGUAUUGGGAAGGAUUUGAAGAACUCCACUCCUACAAUACCUAUGACAUUUUGAGACAAUCCCCUUCCUUGAAGAAAAACUGAAUAAGGGAUUAGAGCCCUAAAAAUGACCAUACCCUUGACAUAGUGGUAGUUACUAAAGUUUAGAGUAAACAAUUUAAAUAUAUUCUGCAAGUGAUUUAUGCCAAUGUUAUUUAUAAGAGCUCAAACAGGAAGAAGGUCAGGUAAAGCCCCUGAGCAGAGAAAACAAAGAACAUUUGGACAGCCUCAGGGAGAAAGUAUUCAAUGACGGAUACAUGGUGCACAUGAGUAUACCUUUUAAUACUGUAAACAGGAAGACGUAGGAGGAAGUGCUAAUGAAAGGAACUUCCAACUGGAAAAGCACAAAGGGGGAAGAGGCCUGACUUUGGACAGAAGGAGAUGGGGCUCCAUCUGGGAGGAUGACUGGCAGGAUCAACAUAGGUGAGGGUGUUUGUUUAAACACAAACUACUACUCAAAAACUUACAGAAGCCUAAGCAUGUCUGCACUCCUAUCCCUACCAAAUUAUGUAAGGAUUUUCAUGUGCAGGAGGCACAGUGAGAUACCUCAAGGUAAAGGCACUCGCUGCCAAGCCUGAGGGCCUGAGUUCAAAUCCUAGGACUCACGAAGUACAAGAACUGACCUCAGCACGUUUUUCUCUGACUUCCACAGGUGUGCUUCCUUCCAUGGGUGGCAUUCGUGUACACACAACCAUGUGCAUGCAUGUACACACACACACUCACAGCAUAUCAUUUUCCCCCUUUUGCAAAGGGAUAGAUCUUGCAUGCUUGCAGGAGAUAAAGUGGAAGGCAGGGAGCGAGAGACUUAAGUGGAGGAGGAGCGUAACUGGAUUUCUUUGCUCUUCUAGAUCAAGACAAUCCAGACAUCUCUAAUAACAGGAAACUGGUACACUGGCAGUUUACAAGGAGCAGGUUCUGGACAGGGAAUGGUUAGAAUGGUCCUAGUUGUCCAGGGGAAUUAAUGUAAUAAAGUCAAGUCUCUGGAAAAAAUUUUUAAAUUGGAUAUGUGUAGCCACCCCUCAAGAAAAAGCCCAUGUGUUAUCCGUAGGGGAAUAGGCAGGUAGGUCUGAUAGAGUAAAAUAUGUAGAAGUACUUUGCUGAGAAGAAAAUGCUUUCUAAUGCUUGCUCUUAAGAUGAUGACGGUGUUAUGGUUACCAAUACCCCCACCCCCUCAAAGGCUCAUAUGUGCAAAGCAUGGUCCCCAGUGAAGCACUGUCCAGAGGGGAGGCUCUGGGGAAAUAAUUGGAUCAUGAUGGCUCUGAGAGUUCGUUGAUGGGUUCAUAAUUGGAUAGACUGUGGUAGGAACUCGGGAGAUGGGAUCUAGUUGAAAGGAUUAGGUCCUUGGGGACCAUAGGCUGUCUUCAGUCCCUAAUUCUGGGUUUCAUUCUGGGUUUCUGCUUUCCAGGAAACCCUGAGGCCAUGAGCUCCGGUCUGCCACACAAUCUCUUCCUCAUGUGCUACCUCCUGACAAACAAGAGCUCAGGGUCAGUGGAUUUAAACCCCAAAAACAUCCACCAAAACAAUUAUAUCUUUCUUUAGGUCAUUUUUCACAGACAUGUUGUCACAGCACGAAAAGGUGACGAACACACUAUAGUGUCACUACAUGAGACUGCAAAGUUAGCCAUGGUGUUCUUAGACAAUAUACUCAAAUUGAGAGAGACCAGGUCUUUUGGGUUCAGACUCCAUUUUGGAGAACAUGACCUAAGGUUGAACUCAAGUUAAUUAACAGGUCAGCGGUACCUAGUGCCAGUUUCCAGAUUACCCCCCAACAAGACCUGUGACUUGCACCAGUUUCCAGGUUACCCCCAACAAAUCUGCACCUCCAGGUUACAAGCCUGCCCCUGGCACUUCACUUCCUAACAACCACCAAUCAGGAGGAAAGCAGAAGUUAAGUUUAUGGUUUGGCUCCCAGCAGCAGCCAAUUAUGAUAAAGGCCAUAAUGGCCUCUCAAUCAUGUGUGUACCAGGCUAGAUACCUACUUCUAGCCUCUAUAAAUGCUUGCUUGAAGCUGGGCUUGCUCCUCCUCAUUCUCCUGCGUCAGAGACAGUGGUGUGGCCCAAGCACUACCUUAAAUAAAGAGACCCCAAUGCGAUUGCAUUGGAAUCGACCCCUUGGCGGUCCUUUUGGGGUUCACAAAUGUUUCUUGGCACAACAAAAUCAAGAGAUGGUUUUAUACUUUUUUUUGAGACAGGUUCUCAUGUACCCCAGACUUUUUCCAAACUCAUUAUGUAGCCAAGGAUAGCCUUACUCUCCUGAUUUUCUGUCUUCACCUUCUAAGCUACACCUGGUUCGUGUGGUGCAAGGAUCAAGCCCAGGACCUUGAACAUGUUAGGCAAGCCUUCUUCCUUUCAGUACCACGGACCAAGCACUUUGCCACUGUGCAUUAGCCCAUCCCUUCUCUCUUCAUUUUUUGAGACUGAGUUUGUGAUGUUGCCCAUGCUGACCUCAGAUUCCUAGGCCCAAGUAAUCUUGCCUCAGCCCAAGCCUGGCUCAUUUCACAAAUUCUUAUACUUCUAAACUUAAAAAAAUCAACAAUAAGAUAAUCUUUCCUCUAAUUAAAGCUGUACCAAGUUUCUUGACCAUUUACUUAAUCAGAUUCUUUUUGGCAAAAUUUUGGUGAUACUUAAUUCAGACAUACUUUUCAGUCAGGUUGUCAAUUAGUAAAAUGUUCUAAAAACACCAAGUCAAUUAUGAUUUGUGCAAUGAUUUUAUAGUCUGAAUAUUUAAAAUCAUAUGGCCACUAACACUCAUUCACUCAGUGUACACACACAGACACACACACACACACACACAGACACACACACACACACACACACACUGGUAAAGUAAAAGCAAUAAGACAUUCUUUACAAGGGUCCAGAACAUGAAGGUUUUAGGACUUAAAUAACUUUUUCUGAUCAUUUCAAUGCGCAAAUCCCAUCUUUCGAAGAACAGCAUUUCGUCUUUUGGCUGAGCCUUGCCAUUUGGUUGCACAAAGGCUUCUAAAUGACUCCUGCUGCAUGCAUGCUCUUACACGCACAUACACGUUACUCGAGUGUUUAGCUUCUAGAGCCAAGAGUCAGCUUCUACUUCGUGCCUCGGGCGUAUCAGGUUUCAACUUACACUGUCUGAGUUUUGUACACAUACUUCUGUACCGUAUUAAAGCCGACGCUUUCCACUGAGUUUCUUCUCCCCACCACCGAGUCUCAGAUGCGUUCUCCAGCUGUUGUUAAACACCACUGCAGCACUAGGCGCAGAUGUCAAUGUGCAUAGAACUGUAUUUCUAGUUCCCAAAAAGUAGCAUCUCUACCAAAUACCAGGAGAUCUGUUCAGUGGAGGUGGUUUUUGUCUUUAUCUUUUUUGAUGACCUCAAUUUAUGGCAUUUGUCCUGGGCCUAUGUUUUGUGUUGCGUUUACAAAGGCACACGUACACACUGAGCCUAGUGUUUUUAGCCACUUCUCCAGCUUCAAGUUUGCAAGACUUUGUGCUAAUGGGGAGACAGACAGAGUUACAGCUCCGAACAUUCCCUGCCCCUGAUCCAGAACAUGUGUUAUCAUCUCACACACUGUAAAUUGAUUCCAAAUCCCUGCCAACAGGGCAUAGGCUGCAUUCCAAACAGCCAACGCUCUGGGACAGUGAAUAGUAAAAUAGAAAUGGAGCGUGCCUUCCCUUUAUUCAUGAGGAAGUCUGAGUAUGUUCAGCCUACAUCCCAUUUUCUUAUGGUUUUCCCCAGCAAAUACCUUGGAAGAUAAGGGACUAGCUUAAAAACCAGUCCUUCCCUAACGUCUAAUGGCUGCUGCCUGUUCCAAGCUCUUGGUGAAGGAUGGUUAUCAAGAAACAGGGCGGGAUGCAGGGACCAUUUAAAAUAAUAAAGGGACUCUCAAUCAACUGGUGAGAGACAUAAACAGUCUGACCCUGCUCUCCCAGGAGUAGAAGUCUAGGGUUUUGAAAGCAGUGUAAACAGUUGCAAAGUCUCUGCCAUUACCUACAAACGAACUCCUAGCACAGAUGACAGAUAAAACAGGCAAGUGUUCUCAAGUUCCGGACCGGUCCAGAUUCUCAACCUGAGUUUACAGUUAGUUGAUCCCUGGCUAAGUCUGUACAUCAACAAACAUGGGAAAACUUGACUUCCGUUUUUGCGACCACUGAGGCCUGUAAAUGGAAAAAGAAAAAGGUCAUUAAUUAGUCUCUGGCCCUGGGAAUGUCUUGGAGAUAACAAGGAAGGUGACCAAGUCUCUUCUAAAGUCCCCAGCCUCACAAGUGUCUGAGCAGCCCUGACUUGGCUACUGUGAUUACCCUUCUGCAUCCCAACCAACAGUCACCUGACAAAGUCUACACUGUCUCUUUGUGUGUUGAACAUUUAGCCUCUUCAUUUAAAAAAUUAAUUAACAUUGUAAAUAUUCAAAAAGAAUUUUGAAUACUAUUUAUUGUAUACAACAUGUUACAAAAUAUGUAGACAUUAUGCAAUGGCUACAUUGAUCUAAUUAACAUAGUCCCAUGCUUGUUUCUUAUGGUUAGAAGAUUUUAAGACCUACCCUUGGAAUUUCUUAAGAAUAUAUUUGAGGCACUUGAUCCAACACUUCCUCAUUAGAUCCUACAAAACAGACGCAUAUAUACAUGUGGAGCUAGGGUGGUAAUUAAUAAUUCUCAAUGCUAAUGCCAGAGGGUGAAUUGCCAAAGCUUUAUAGAAAUAUUUUCAAAUUAAAUCUCAUUCCAUAUGUAAGAGAGCUCAAGAGACUGUGGCUUGGUCUUGUUUGCCCCCACUUUAUUAGCUAGGGACAGCUAGUAAAUAUAUAUAAACUAGCUGGCUGCACCCUGGCCCAAACCAUUUUGAAGUGGAUCAUUGAUCCCCUGGCCUUCAGGAGGCCUGACAACCAGCACUAACUCACAAUCCACCAACAGAGUGACAGACCCCAAGCCUCAAGGUACUUACCCACAAAAUGGAAAGUUAGGAUUUUAAUGUCUGUUUCUACACAGAUUGCUUUGAUUUUUGCUAAUUUCAAUCCUUUAGGGAAUGAAAAAAAUUAUCAGAAAAUGAAAAUAUAUACACAUAUAUAUUGUAUAUAUAUGGUCAUAAGCAACCUUAUGUAGUUUUUAAAAGGUGUCAUAUCAAAGUCAGGGAGGCAAUACAUAAGAUUAUAAAAUAUAAGAGAACAAUUAAUUCUGUUUAAUAGAUGUUUUCAUAUCCUAAAGAGUCAACAUUGUAUAACACUAAAGAUGGAUCCUCCUUAAGUGACAGGACAUAAGUCUAUCAAAUGAAAGUCCCACUUGAGAAAUGUCCUCUUCCAUUCGGACCACAGCAGACACUGUGCCCAGCAUUUGCCAAGAACGCCACUGACUAGAAGCAGGUCUAUUUCUGGACCUGCGUGAGUCCCAAGCCAGGAUGUUGAAUUCUCUGAAGGAAGGAAGGAAGUCUGAUGUAGCUGUGAGGAGGAGCAUUGAACAGCCUUCCAUGGGAAGUAGAGGUGAUCAUCCCUGUAGGAGAAGGUGACUGAGGCGGUGGAAGUAGGAAGAAGAGUCAGGCACGAGUUUCAGCGGUGAGGCAAAGGCAGGCUUCAAUAACAAGACGGCAUGUGAGCAAAUGUUACCCCACAGCUCUCUGGGGCCAGAACAGUCUCAGCUGAGACCUUGAAACAGGAGGGUGCUGCGUGAGGCCAAUGUGACUGGGGCUGUGUAAGGGAGACACUGGAGAUGAGGUCAGACAGGAACAGGUGCAGGGGUGUCAGCACCCUGAGCACAGCAGAUGCUCUGACCUUUACUCUGCGAUCAUUUAAGCAGUCACAACAGGGUUUUAGCAGGGUGACAUGGUCUGAUGUACACUCGAUAAGGCUCCGUCUGGCUGCCGUGCUGCUGUUGAAGGCAGGUAGGCAACAGCACGAUGCACUCGCAGUCCAGUGAGGAGGCCCGUGGUGCAAUCCAGACUAGAAGUUGUAGUGGCUUGUGCCAGCCAUUAGCAGUGGAGGGGCUGAGAGGCAGCCAGGCUCCAAAUGUUAUCUAAAAGGAGAUAAAAGAUUUUCCAACAGUAUAAGUGCAGCGAGAUGGCUUGGAGGGUAAAAGAGCUUGCCACGAAAGCCUGAUGAACUAAGUUCAAUACCAGGAACUCACGUAAAAGGGGAACCAGAGGAUGGAUUGCAUACUUGUGUUCUGAUCCCUGCGAAGUACUGUGGCUUACGCACAACACACACAUACCAUACACAGAAACACACAUCAUACACACACAAUAGUAAACAGCAAUUAAAAAAGAAAGCUCUAAAAAAUGGCAAGAGAACAAAAAGCCUGGCAUAUGAAAGGUGGGGAAGCUAAGACUGACUCUAAAGUUGGCAGCCUGGGCAGCCAAGAGGAUGGAGUGACCCUUGGGCAUAAAAUCAGCUGUUUGACUAUAGGGUUUGUUUGUUUGUUUGUUUAAAUGGCCCAUUUGGCCAAAUGCCCAUUCUGCCACUCCAAUGCAUCUCCGCUUUUCCGCUUUCCAGACGAGCUUGCUCUUCUGUGCUUCCCCUGUCCUCCCUGCCUCCAGUCACCCUUCUCCCCUUCUUCCUCGGCCUAUUUGAAGUUUGUCCAUCGCUUCUGUUCCAACUGCUCCAGAAAGCCCAUCCUGAAUAUAUCCACAGGAAAAUAAUUGUGAUUUUUUUUAUCUUUAAAGAUUUGUCUAUAACAGUUUCUGAUUUGCUUAUUUUCAUAAAGUGAUAUUCAAUGUUGGUUUUGUUUUCUCAGUCAUUCUUUUCAUUAAGGUUCUAUAUUCAACUUUUUAUUCUUGACAGAGAGACAGAGAGGUACAUGUGUGUUAUAUGUUCAUAUGUGUGUGUGUGUGUGUGUGUGUACACCUGUGAUUCUGGGUGUACUUGCAGGUGUGUGUUCGUGUGCAUGAUGGUGUGUAUGUGUGCUACAUGUUCAAGUGUGUGUGUACUUGUACAUGAGAAAUGUGAGUGUGCACACAUGUCAAAGCCAGAAGUUGACAUUAGAUGUCUUCCUCAAUCACUCACCCCUUUACUUUAUUCUGAGACAGGGUCUCUCACUAGAGCAUACUGAUUCAGCCAGGCUGACUGGCCAGCAAAUUCAGCCAUCUUCUGUCUGUCUCUGUCUCCCAGGGCUGAAGUUACAGAUGCACACAGACAUUCUCAGCUUUCACUGGCUGCUAGGGAUCUGAACUCGGAUCCUCACUUUGCAUAGCAAGUACUCUACUGACUACAGCAACCCCCCCCCCCCAACGACAAACUCCUAACUCUUCACCUCUUCCUCUGCACCAGGAACUUCACAGAAGGCUAGCCCUGCCUGAUUAAGACUUUCCCAGGGUCACAUGCCAGGCUCUCCUGUGUUCAAGCCUUGCUUCUCUGACAGUUCCCUUCCUCUGUCACCACUGGAAACUACCUAGAUCAUUAGCAUCCGAGCAUCCUCCUAAACAAUGACAGCAUUUCACAACUGCCAUGGUUGACUGCUUAGGCAAGCAUUUCCUUUGCUCUGUGUUGUGCUGUCCCCUGUGCCUAAGGACUUGUGCAGACAUUUCAAGGCCUGCUGAUGAACACCCAGCUACAAAUCUCUCAACUCCCUGGAUUCAAGAAUGCCAGCUUACCCUUUGCCAUGCCACAACACAAAGGACAUCUGAAAUUGUGUCAUCUCCCUUGCAAGGGCCUGCUGGGGUUAGAUAAUUUUUCUAAGAGAGAAAAAGGUAUUGAACACUGAGAAGGCAACUUAUAAAGGAAGCAUUAAAAUGGGGAGAAGUUUUCAGUUCAGAGGGUGAGUUCAUGACCAUCACAGUAGGAGCAUGGCCGCAAGCAAGCAGACAUGGUGCUAGAGUAGUAGCUGAGAAUUUAUAUCUGUUCCACACUUUUCAGGUAGAGAGAGAGACAGAGAUAGAGACUGGGCUUGGCAUGGACCUUAGAAAUCUCAAUACCUAACCCCAGUGACACUCCCCGGUGACCUCCUCCAACAAGGCCACACCUUCAAACCCUUCCCAAACAGUUCCACAAGCUGGGGAUCAAGCAUUCACACAUGCAAGCCUGUAAGCACCAUUCUCAUUCAAACCACACAGACCCUCAAUUUCCAACCGUGUUUCUCUUCUCUGCUAUGUUAUCUCUCUGUGUCUCUUAGCUGAUCAAAUGGCUCCAUGGAUCUGGCCUCAAACUCUUUUUCUGACUCCAAAUUCUCUUGAUCUUACAGCUAACACAAUGGCUUUUCCUGGGAAAGGUCGGCCCCUCAAAUUCAGAAUGCUCAGAAUUGUUUCAAUAACUUCUCCUUCCAGCUACUGGAUUCUCUUAUUUCUCCUAUUUGGGUUUCUUGAACAAUGUUCAAGCCCAAAGUAGAAACCUGAUGGUUUUCAACUCUUUCUAUUUUCUUAAUCCUAAUAACAAGACUGAAUUUUCUCUUCAGUGUUUGGCCAUUCUCUUUCCACUCACAGAAUAGCUAAUGGGAACCUCCAACAUCCCUUUUUACAGUCUGCCCUGAUGCUGGUACCAUAGAUCCCUCUAAAAUAUAGAUUGAUCAUCCAUGCUUUAAAACUUUGAGUGUAUCCCUGGUACCUCAGAGUAAAGUCUGAAGUUGCAGCAGAGCCCCUAAGGCUUUCCACACAGAUUCUGAAACUACACUAUUCCUAGUCGUCUUUGCAGUCACCUCAAACACCAGGAACGAACCGUCUUUCCUAAAAACCCACUGAACCUGCCAAUUCCAUGUUUUUGCUGUGCUGAUCUGUCUGUGUGCAAUAACGUGUCCAUUUCUUUCUGAUACAUGGUUACUCAUAAUACAAAUCAAUCACAAUGUAAACACAACCAUAUGGUACAUUAAGCUUCCCUAAACUAUAUAUUCUAGAACAGCAUAGUGAUGAAGCUAGUUAUGUCAGUGUAGACUUCAUAAUUGCACAAGUGGUGAGCACCACGAGGCCCAGUAUCUUACCUGGUAAAAGCUUCUGCAGGCCUCUGAAGAAGUCAAUAUCUUUCUAAGGCAGAUUUGACUAUCUACUCGUCUGUACUGCCCUAGGCAGAGUUCACUACCCUCUCAUCUAUGUGUCCUUCAAGUAGAGUUAAUUACUUUUUGCUUCCUUCCCUUCCUCGUGUCUUUUUCUAAUUUUUUAUUUGUUUUAUUUUUUAUUUUUUGGUGCUGGGGAUAGAAACUAGGGUUUUGCUUAUGUCAGGCAAAUGUGCUACCACUGAGCUGUAGGGACCCCCAAGUACAGGGGUCAUGUAGUGAGAGCACAUGAGUGUCAGUAACCCAUAAGGUGGUCCUGGUGUUGGCCUUACUUUUGAGAGAGGGCCUGAGCAUCAGUAAGUAGUAAGAUAGUCCUGAUGUUGGCCUUACUCAUGAGAUCCUUGAACUCCAGAUGGAUAUUUUGGGCAACAUUUCUGAACAAACAGGCAAACCGGUCACCUAAUAGGAUAUGCAAGAAUCACUCAGAAAUGUAAAAUUGAAUUUGCUCUGUAAAAAGUAGCUUAAAGGUUCCCACCUUUAACCAUUGUGCCGUACUGUCUGAACCAUGAAGACCCAGGGAAGAACUUUGACUUCGUCAGGACAGAUUUUCAAGAUGAGACUAGAUAAAGCUAAGGUGACAGAGGGAUAGAUGAUAAAAGUGGGAACUCAGAGGACAGAAGUGAAGCCAGCAGCUGCACCAGAACCUAUGUUCUCACACUGGUGUGUCUAAUCCAGAGCCUCUUCUGGGAAACCCUCGGUGAGUUUUGUUUUAAGUAGUUUAUAGACGCAACUACCAGAUUUCAAAGCUAAAGUGAUAUAAAUAACUUGGGGUGGGUUGACCGAAAACCCAUGAGAACUCCCACAGCAACUGUGUGGGCGAAGGCGUCUCUUCACAGCAGAACGGAAAUCACUUAGUGGAACAGAAGUGCAGGAUCAACCUAACCACAGUCCUGAGAGGGUAAGAGACCCAGAGGAGCAGAGAACUGGUGGUGACAACUGGUAACGCCACACACACACACACACACACACACACACACACACACACACACACACGCACACACACACAAUCUGGAUCCGCUCAUUGUCAAUACUAAAGUGAAGUUGUUGACUAAAGGGAUCCUAAGCACACCGUUCUUUGAAUAAGACAUAUAAAAGGUAGGAAGGAAUCUCUAGGAGCAUAAGAUAUUUUGAAAUAACAACAUCAAAAAAUGCGCUCUAACCACCAAUGGUCUACCUGCAAAUGGUAAAUAUUUUUAUAUUGUCUCUAUACUGAAGAUCUAAGAUAAGACCUAUCCUAUGUUAAGUACAUGGUCUACUAUUGAGCUAUACUUUCAGAUACAUAUAUCUACAUAUUAUACAUACAUAGUAUAUGCAUAAAUCAUUAUAUAUACAUUAAACGUGUGCAUGCAUGUGUGUAUGUGCAGAUGAGUGCAUAUGCCCAAAGAGGUCAGAAGAGGGUGUGAGAUCCCCUGGAGCUGGAGUCACAGCUGGUUGUGAGACACUCUAUGUGGGCGCUGGGAACUCAACUCAGGUCCUCUCGUGAGAACAGUACUCAGUCUUAACUGAGUCAUGUCUGAAGUCCCAUCAUAUUUUUUUCUUGAGGCACAGUGUUAUGUAACCUAGGCUGACCUUAAACUCACAAGAUACAGGCCUCAGCCUUCCAAGUUGCUAGGAUUACAAAAAGUUACACACACACAGUCACACACAGAAAAAGAGAGAGAGACAGACAGACAGACAGACACACAUAUAAAUCAUGAAAGACAAGCUACAGCUACCAUAUUACCAAGUGUUAAGUGAUGGCAUUUGUAGAAAAUUUCUUAUUUCAAAGCACCUAAAAUAUAAUAUCCCCCUGCUUUUGUAAAUCUCCGGCACUAUUCUUGGUUUCCCUAAAAAGCAAAGAGCUCCUAGGAGGAGAAAUAGAGAUUGUAGAACUUGGGUUUUCUCUCUCAGGACAGAGCGAGGGGACGAAGCCCAGGCCCUUGGGUGUGCUAAGCGGCCAUUCCACAACCGAGUGGCACUCUGAGCUCUAGAAGACAGGUUUCAGCCUGGAAGUGAGGAGCAGAGUCACAGGCACAUACUGGUGAUCAAUAACUAUCCCUUGACUACCUCCACACAGAACUUCAUUCAAGGCUGGGGUGAAACAUAACCACACUGUUUGCCAGGUGAGACAAAGGUCUCCCACCUCACUUAGCAGCAAAAGCACUGUGCUUCAGUGUCUAGUCACUGAGACCCAGAGAACUCUUCCCUAGCCAGGUUCAGUCACACAUACCCACAGCUCCAGGUACUCAGAAGACUGACCCAGGCAGACAGAUGGUUUGAGCACAGGAAGCUCAAAAUUAGUUUGGGCAAUACCUUGACGUUUCAUCUCAAACAACAUAAAACAAAAAUGAAAACCAGGAAAACAGCCCAACUGAGAGUAGAGAGGGCCAGAAGCAACCAUAACCCAAAGGUUGCCUCCAACCUCCUCUGCAAGUUCAUGAAUCCCAAUAUAUCUGCUCGCUGCUCCAACAACUUAGAACAUGACACAAACACAUAUGUUUUGAGGUUUUUUUUUAAGAUUUGUUUAUUUUAUGUAUAUGAGUAUACUGUAGCUGUCUUCAGACACACCAGAAGAGGGUGUCAGAUCUCAUUACAUGUGGUUGUGGGGAUUUGAACUCAGGACCUCUGGAAGAGCAGUCAGUGCUCUCAACCGCUGAGCCAUCUCUCCAGCCCAUGUUCUGAGCUUUAACAAUACUUUAACAUACAGUCUUGUACUAUUCAUCAGGCUAGCCUUGAACUCACAGUAAUCACCCUAGAGCUUUGAUAAGGUAUGAGCCAGCACACAGACACAUAAACUUUUAAUUAAUUCUUUGAAAAUUUCAUACAAUGUAUUUGAAUCAUAAUUACCCCCACAACUCCUCUUAGAUCCACCCCUGACCCUACCCACCCAACUAUAUAUCUUCUUCCUUUUUUAAACAAACAACUCCAAUUUAUGCAACCCACAUACUCUAGGGGUGCACUCGUCCACUGGAGCAUGACCUACCAAGGGCCUCACCUUUAAAAAACAAUCUCUCUCUCUCUCUGUCUCUCUCUAUCUCUCUGUCUCUGUCUCUGUCUCUCUCUGUCUCUCUCUCUCUGUCUCUCUCUCUCUCUCUCUCUCUCUCUCUCUCUCUCUCUCCUCUUUUCUAGCAGCCUCCAACUGCCAGUAGCUCCUCAAGUAGGGGUGGGACCUGUGCCCAUCUCACCUCUCUAUAUUGGAAGUUUGUCUGGCUUGAGUUUGGCCAGCCUGGUGCACACUGUCACAACACUGGGAGAAGGCGUGUUCAAUUGCCCUGCUGUGUCUGCAAAACAGUGUCUCAGCUUCUUCAGUCUCUCCACCCACCAUGCCACAAUGAUCCCUAAGCCUUGGGAGGUUCAAGUGUGAGAUGCAUAAUUUUUUAAAAGAAAGAUUUUUAUAUCGUUAUAUCAUGUAUUUCCCUCAAAAAGUACAGUCUCUCGUUCUGCCUUAAAAUGGGAAUGUUGACAUGUGUUGCAGCAUAGAUGAUCCGAAUGCUAACUUAACCAGUUCCAAAGAACAAACAUUACGUGAUGCCAUUUAUGGAAGGAACUUAGUUAAUUCACAGAUAGAGAAAGUAGAAAGGUCAUUACCAGCAGCUGCAGAGAGCUAAUGGCUAGCUUCUCUUAAUUUUAAUGUUUGUAUUUUAUGUUAUUAUUUUGUGUGUGUGAGGGUUUUGCUUACAUGUAUGUAUGAGUAUUACGUGUGUGUCGGGUGCCCACAGAGGUCAGAAGAGGGCACUGGAUCUAAUGGAACUGGAGUUAAGACUGUUACGGUAGCUGUGAACUACCAUGUGGGUAGUAGGAACUUGAAUCCCUGUCCUUUGGAAGAGCAGCAACUGCUAUUUAGUGCUAAGCCACCAUUCCAGGCCCUGCGAGCUAUUUUUAUUUUUGUUUUUUUUUGUUUUUUUUUUUUUUUUGGUUCUUUUUUUCGGAGCUGGGGACCGAACCCAGGGCCUUGUGCUUGCUAGGCAAGCGCUCUACCACUGAGCUAAAUCCCCAACCCCUGCGAGCUAUUUUUAAUGAGCACAAAAGUUUCAGCUGGAGAAGAUGAAAAUGUUCCUGAAGAUUGGAUGGUGCCAAUGUUUGCAAAACUAUGACUAUACCUGAUGCCACGGAGCUGCACCCGAUAGGAUGGUCAUUGUGCAUCUUUCACCAGCAGUGAAAGUUUAAAAAAGUGUCAAGUCUCGGCCGAUGACAGUUCUCAUACUGGCGCAACGUACUUGUUUUAACAUGACGGUCAUCUAUGCCUUGUUUUGCGAACGGGGCACGACUCACGCCAUUGCAUUGGCUCUUAGUAACUAUCUUUUAAAUAGCAGCUGGCAGCUUGACAGUGACUUUCUCAUGUUCUACUGUCAGUGCACAAGCUACCAGCUGCAGGUAGAGAGGGACCCUUUAUUUUUAUGAUUAGUCUUGAACGUGAAUUAAGUUCUUGAUAAAAUAGCUUCUUGGAAGACUCCGUUUUAGUGUUGCUUUCCCCCCUCCUGCUCUCCUCCCCUUCCUCAUAAACAGGACAUGGAAGGUUUUCAGUCCCACCCACCCUUUCUUUCAAGUCCUAGCUUCAAAGUUGAGUAGAAGGCUCAGGCACCUUGUGACCACCAAAGCACGCAUUCCUGACGAGGAACGUUUCUCUUCCCGUUCUAACCUAGGCAAUGUUCUAUCAAACAGAACAUUGUAUCCUGCCUCAAAAUCAGGUCUAUGGUACAAACUGGACAUUUCCUUUCGUUCUUUCCCCUUGUAUGGUUGCUUCUCGGGGGAGGGUGGGCGAGUGACGAGGACGCUUCUGAAGCCCGAGUUCCUCUUUCGGCCUUUGUGGCUUUUACUUCCACUGUCAUCAGAAAUCCCCAAGUGCUGCUAAUGCUUUCUCCUCUUCCUCUCCUCGGCCUGCUUUUGUUUUUCCUCAACACUGCUGGGUUCUUCCCCAUCUCCUGCUCAGGCUGCUUUCUCUGUGAGUCUUGUUUCCCACAGGGUGCUGACAGGCAGUCUCUGUACCAUACAACUCUACUCUCUACUCACCACCCUGGGUCGGUAGCGCCAAUGCAACUGCACAGUGCAGACCUUGAGCAAGGGGUCAGGUCUACCCUCUAGCUGGUGCUGCCUGUUCACUGCCACCUCUAGCUUCUCAAGGAAAAGUUCAUGGGAACAACUUUAGCUCCCACUGAGGCUCUGAGCCACAGCCCAUGCAUUGAGUAAGUUGCCUCUGAAGACUAAACUUUCCGUGGGGCCUUUACAACUGCAAUCAUGUAGGGCAUGGUGGUGCAGACUUGUAAUCUCUGUCCCCCGGAGCUGGAAGGAGGCAGGAUUGCUGUAGGUUCCAGGCCAGCCUGUGCUACGGAGCAAGUAUCCAGCUGGAGAUACAUAAUAAGAACCCACCUCCAAAAACCAAAGAAACAAAACAAGCUAGAGAAUCGGUUCACCCUUUCAGAGAGGCUCUGCUCUUGCAGAUCAGAGUUCGGUUCCCAGUACCUAAUGCUGGACGGCUCACAACCAGCAGCAGCUUCAACUCCAGGACAUCUAAUGUCCUCUUCCAGCAUGCCAGGGCUCCUUGUGUUCACAUAUUUCCCACCCCCAUACACAUAAUUAAAAAGAAAUAAUGUUAAAAGUAAUCCACUAUCAUCAACAAAUUCAGGCAAUGAGCUAGGAGUGGAGGCCUUGCCUACCACGAACCAGGCCCUGGGUUCCAUGCUUAGCACCAGAAACAUCUAAAUAAAUAAAUAAAUAAAUAAAUAAAUAAAUAAAUAAAUAAGCAGAUCCGAUCUUCCACCAGCUUCUCAUGCUACCUCGAGUGACUGUUGAGGUGACUCUGCCCUUUGUACUUAGAAUCAUUUCUUCAGCUUUUCACUCUGGAGCUCUGGUGUGACAAAACCUCACUCACAGUGUACACAGUGGCUUAGUCAAGAAAAAUGGAACUUUAUUUCUACCUUUCAUACAGAAACAAUAUCCUUGCCAUCAGUCAAAGAACAUAAGCUUGUUCGAUGGUCUCCCUCUUCAUUUUUCCCACAGUAUGGUACAGCUCUGGGGACUUACCCGAUGACAUCAAGGAACGUGGUGUGGUGUAUAAUCCUCUGUCUAAUCACAGAGUCACUUGCUAGGAAGAUGUCCACACAGGUUUAGCAGCUCUUGGAUGCUUUGGGGUCAAUUCUGGGUCAUGGGAAUCCCUGCCAUCAACACUCUCUACAGUACCCGUCCUGGCACUCUGGCCUUGUAGCACUUGUCUGGGAAUAGGGAAGUAACUUGCCUUUUGACAAGCAGUGCACGGCAGUUUAUCUUAAACUCUUAGUAUCCCGUUUUCCUCUUUCCUCAUCUAGCCUCGGGGUUUCAAACAGCAAGGGAGUCAUCUUUCUGGUCAGGGACUAGUGCUUUGACUAGUAUAAUCUUGUCAACUUGACCCUCCUGGAAAGAAGGAACAACUUCUUCCUUCUGUCUGGAAGCACUGCUUCCACCAGACUGGCCUAUGGUCACGUCUCUGCAAUAUUGUCUUGAUUUAUGAUUGAUGUGGGAGGGUUCAACCCCCUAUGGGCGGUUCCAUCCCUAGGCAGGUGCUGCUGGGUUGUAUAAGAAAGCAGGCUGAGCAUGCGCAGGAGGAGAAAGUGACCAAGCAGCCUUCCUCCUUUGGUGGUUUCUACCUCAGUUCCUGCCUUGACUUCCCUUGAGAGACUUUAUAUUUUCUUUUUCAGCCAUGGCAUUUGUCACAAUAGAGAAAACUAUGCUGACUGAGCCCUCUCCUUGUCUCUGUUUUUAAGAUUCAUUUUUAAAAUUGUAUGUGUAUAGAUGUUGUCCUACAUAUCUACAUGUAUGCCAUAUGCAUGCAGUGCCCAGAGAGUGCAAAAGAGAGCACUGGAUCCUCAGGAGCAGGAGGUACAGAUGGUUUCAGUUGCCAUUUAGGUGCUGGGAACCAAACCUGUGCUCUUACUGACUGAGUCCUUUCCUCAGCCCCUCCCCAUUGUUUUCAAGCCCCGCAGCUGCCUCUAAUGGACAUCGACUGCCCUCUCUAAAGCUGACUGGAGAACAAGUCCAGACAUCUCUGCUUUCCUCAACACUGGGUAUAGGGCCACACUUGAACACUGAGAGAGGGGAUCAACUGCAGGCCAUGCAGUCAAUGGGAGUUUUUGAACACAAGGGUGAAUGUGAUAUUACAAGUGACCUUGAGGCAUCUGACUAAGGAAAAAUCCCCCUUCUGACCAACAUAAUUACCCAGUCUUUAUAGAAAUCUGUACAUAUAAGCCGCUGUAUUUCUCUAGGACUAGGUAAAGAGUUACAACAACUGCUUUCUAGAAAAAAAUUAGCAUUUAACUUUACAGAUUAUAAUUCUCCAACUGAAAGCAAAUAAGUAAGCAAGGGAGGGAGGGAGAGGGGGGAGAGAAAAGAAAAAAACAAGAAAAAAGAAAAAGAAUCCUCACAUGCAUUGAAUCUUCAACAAGGCUUGAGUCUAGGGCUUGCUUUCCAAUUUUUAUGACCAAGAAAGUGAAGCAGAAGUAAUUACCAACAUUAGCAAGAAACACAAAACUUAGUUUUAGUUUGGGUUUAGUUUGGUCUGGAUUUUGUUGAGUGGGUCUACAAUCACCUGUUUCCGUUCUAUUACUGCCAACUCUGUCUUUCUAGCCAACUUUUAAUGAUGCCCAGGACUAUGGCUCUGACAGCCCUUGGCUUCUCAUUCACCAGUUGACUCCCAGCUCUCCUCACAAGCUGUUUCUCCAGCUGCUCUGAAAAGAAAUUUGCUUUGGAAAUAGAUAUGAAUGUAUAUUUGUAUGUGAACUUAGCUCGUAUAAGCUUCACAUGCACUGUUUGGACCCAUCACAGAACCAAAAGUGGUAGCUUUUUUUUUUUUUUUAAUAAGAAGGAUUUAAAAAUAGUAGCAACAACUGACAUUUACUUAGUGAUGAGUACUAUGCCAAGGACUUCUUCAAGAGGAACUCCCUGGUAGAUCUUUGGAAAUGUGCAAAAGAUACCUGUUGUAGGUUGGGAGAACACCUCUCAUUUUGCAUGUGUUAUGUGAGUACAUCAGUACCUGGCUUAACUUUCAGUGCUGCCUGCUGAGAAGCGGACUCAAAUAAACAAACCAACCAAAGAGAGGCCCACCAACUGGACCAAUGGAAAAGAGAGGAGUUGUGAGUUCUCUCUCUGUCUCUGUCUCUCUGUCUCUCUCUGUCUCUGUCUCUCUGUCUCUCUCUCUGUCUGUCUCUGUCUCUCUCUGUCUCUGUCUCUCUGUCUCUCUGUCUCUCUCUGUCUCUCUCUCUCUCUGACUCUGUUUCUCUGUCUCUCUCUGUCUCUCUGUCUGUCUCUCUGUGUCUCUGUCUCUGUCUGUCUCUGUCUCUGUCUCUCUGUCUCUCUCUGUCUGUCUCUCUGUCUGUCUCUCUGUGUCUCUGUCUCUGUCUGUCUCUGUCUCUGUCUCUCUCUCUCUCUCUCUGUGUGUGUGUGUGUAUCACAAUCAAAUUUUGCAGGUGAUAAAAAUUGUCCUGUAACCAUUAUAGUCUCUUUCUGUCUCUUUCUGUCUGGGAGAGAGAAAGUGGGACCUUGGAAAUGUUGGCUUUCAGCAGAAAUUCUCAGGGAAAAGAGAAAGGAGAAAAGUCAGUAGAGGAACACUUUUCUAGUAGACACAAGGCUCUGCACUCAACCUCCAGCAUCACCAAGGACAGACAGACAAAUAAAACAAAAGCCUUGCACACUAAAGAAAAUGCCCUCACAAAACAAUCGUAAAACAGAGACAAGUGACUUUUACAUUUUUUCUUAUUAUUUUCCUUCCAAAACUUAAAUGACACUUUUAUUCAACUGUACUAAAGUUAACACCAUCGUCAAAAUUACUCCAAGCCAGAACUGCAUGAUCUGCAAUCAUCACCUACCUGACCCCCAUCGCAGUAAGUCUUUGCCAUGAUAGGAAAUGUCCCGUCUUUCUGCACCUCCUCCCUGCCCUGCUCUAAGCUCUCAUCACUUCUUACCCAGAUUAUUACAGUCCAUGCAACUGCCGUCCUCUGUCCUCUCCCGUCCCUGUCCCCAGCAACUCCACCCCCGAGGCUUCCUAUAACGUUUAUCUUCAAUAUCCCUCGAAGGUCACUUUAUUAAAGGGCCGGUACCAAGGUAGACAUUAUUGGUAAGCAGUUGGCACCUCUGUAGUCAUCAAAAGUGUACUCUUGUAGGGGGCUGCGGGACUCUGGGCCCACCCUUGUCCUCUCACUCAGUUCUGGCAGUGGGGUAAGUGACAUUGCUCUGUCAUGUGAUCCUACCGUGAUGUGUUGCCCUCCCACAGGAACAAAGUUAAUAGGUCAAUCCUUCGCAGACCUCUCCCUGUCCUCCCCUUCCCCCCAUGCCCCAUUCUAUUCCCCAAAGACAGGUUUCAUAUAGCUGGCCUGAUCUCCCCAAAGUAGCUAUGCUGCUGAAGAUGACCUUGAUCUUUUGGUCUUCCUGUGCCCAUGACCCUGGAGCUGAUAUUUCAGGCUUAUACCAUCAUGCCCAGCUUUUUUUUUUUCUUUUUGUAAUAGGAACUGAACAUAGGUCUUCAUAUAUGCAAAGAAGCCAAGCACUUUACCAAUCAAAUCCCCAGUCCCAAACCAUGGACUUUGUCUUAUAUCCAAUGACCCAAACCUAUUAAAGUUCCCACCCGUUUUAAGAUCCACCACUCUAGUCCUCCCUUGGGCAUGGGGCUCUGACUUUUUCUGCCACAGCCAGUUUUGUUUUUUUUCCCAUGAGAGUCUUCUCACAUGCUCAUCCCAUGUCUUUGUUAGGUUUCUAGCUAAAUGCCCCCAACUGCCACUCCAAGCCACAGUCCUCAGAUAAACCUUUCUAGUUCCCUGCAUUUGGUGCCAUGGCACCUGUUACAAUCACUUCUUAGGGUAUUUGUUCAAUGUCCUCCAGAGUAAACCAUGCUCUUUUUUUUUUUUUUUUUUUUUUUUGGUUCUUUUUUUCGGAGCUGGGGACCGAACCCAGGGCCUUGCGCUUCCUAGGCAAGCGCUCUACCACUGAGCUAAAUCCCCAACCCC